rnacentral:rRNA from 1 species
UAGGGAAUCUUGCACAAUGGGCGAAAGCCUGAUGCAGCGACGCCGCGUGGGGGAUGACGGCCUUCGGGUUGUAAACCCCUUUCAUGUGGGAAGAAAUAUGACUUUACCACAGGAAGAAGCACCGGCUAACUCAGUGCCAGCAGCUGCGGUAAUACUGAGGGUGCAAACGUUGUUCGGAAUCACUGGGCGUAAAGCGCGCGUAGGCGGUUCGGCAAAUCGGUUGUGAAAUCCUCCUGCCUAACGGGAGAAUUGCUGCCGAAAAUACCGGGCUAGAGGUUGUCAGGGGCAAGUGGAACUCUUGGUGGAGCGGUGGAAUGCGUAGAUAUCAAGAGGAACGCCGGAGGCGAAAGCGACUUGCUGGGGCAAUUCUGACGCUGAGGUGCGAAAGCUAGGGGAGCAAACAGG